CGCCUACGGGAGGCAGCAGCUAAGAAUAUUGGGCAAUGGAGGAAACUCUGACCCAGCCAUGCCGCGUGAAUGAAGAAGGCCUUCGGGUUGUAAAGUUCUUUUAGUCGUGAAGAUGAUGACAGUAGCGACAGAAUAAGCACCGGCUAACUACGUGCCAGCAGCCGCGGUAAUACGUAGGGUGCGAGCGUUAAUCGGAAUUACUGGGCGUAAAGGGUGUGCAGGCGGCUGAGUAAGACAGAUGUGAAAUCCCCGGGCUUAACCUGGGAACCGCAUAUGUGACUGCUUGGCUAGAGUGCGUCAGAGGG
rnacentral:rRNA from 1 species